rnacentral:rRNA from 1 species
UGAGGAAUAUUGGUCAAUGGGCGAGAGCCUGAACCAGCCAAGUAGCGUGCAGGAUGACGGCCCUAUGGGUUGUAAACUGCUUUUAUAUGGGAAUAAAGUGAGGGACGUGUCCCUUAUUGCAUGUACCAUACGAAUAAGGACCGGCUAAUUCCGUGCCAGCAGCCGCGGUAAUACGGAAGGUCCAGGCGUUAUCCGGAUUUAUUGGGUUUAAAGGGAGCGUAGGCUGUUUGUUAAGCGUGUUGUGAAAUGUAAGAGCUCAACUUUUAGAUUGCAGCGCGAACUGGCAGACUUGAGUGCGCACAACGUAGGCGGAAUUCAUGGUGUGGCGGUGAAAUGCUUAGAUAUCAUGACGAACUCCGAUUGCGAAGGCAGCUUACGGGAGCGCAACUGACGCUAAAGCUCGAAGGUGCGGGUAUCGAACAGG